rnacentral:rRNA from 1 species
CCUGUCCCCCCCCCCGCCCCUUUUUGGGGGGGGGCACGGGGGGAAUUUUGGCAAAGGGGGGAAACCCGAUCCACCCCACCGCGUGAAGAAAUAAUGCCCUAAGGAAAUAAAAAUUUCUUUUCCAGGGAAGAAAAAUGCCGGUCCCGGGAGAAAAAGCCCCGGCUAAUUUGGCCCCACCAGCCGGGGUAAUUAGAGGGGGCCAGGUUUUUUUUGGAAUUUUGGGGGUAAAAAGCGCCCGUAGGGGGUUUUAUAAUUCGGGGGUGAAAUCCCGGGGUUCAACCCGGAAGUUCCCUUGAAAAUUGGUGGUUUGGAUUUUGGGAGAGGAAAGGGGAAUUCCGGGUGUAGCGGUGAAAUGCGUAGAUAUCGGGAGGAACCCCGUUGGAGAAGGCGGCUUUCUGGCCCGUUACUGACGUUGAGGCGAAAAAGCUUGGGGAGCAAACAGGAUUAGAUACCCGGGUAGUCCACCCCUUAAACGAUGCUAGACUGGUCGCAGCCUACUCUCGGUGCCGCAGCUAACGCAUAAGAUCCGCCUGG